rnacentral:rRNA from 1 species
AUUGAACGCUGGCGGCAGGCUUAACACAUGCAAGUCGAACGAGUGGCGGACGGGUGAGUAAUUCCUGGAAAUCUAGCUUAUGGAGGGGGAUAACUACGGGAAACUGUAGCUAAUACCGCGUACCAUAGGAUGAGCCCAAGUGGGAUUAGGUAGUUGGUGAGGGAAAGGCUCACCAAGCCGACGAUCUCUAGCUGGUCUGAGAGGAUGACCAGCCACACUGGGACUGAGACACGGCCCAGACUCCUACGGGAGGCAGCAGUGGGGAAUAUUGCGCAAUGGGCGCAAGCCUGAUGAAGCCAGGCCGCGUGUAUGAAGAAGGCCUUCGGGUUGUAAAGUACUUUCAGUCGGGAAGCGUUACCGACAGAAGAAGCACCGGCUAACUCCGUGCCAGCAGCCGCGGUAAUAC